rnacentral:rRNA from 1 species
CCGGCACGGGUGAGUAACACGUAUCCAACCUGCCGUCUACUCUUGGACAGCCUUCUGAAGGAAGAUUAAUACAAGAUGGCAUCAUGAGUCCGCAUGUUCACAUGAUUAAAGGUAUUCCGGUAGACGAUGGGGAUGCGUUCCAUUAGAUAGUAGGCGGGGUAACGGCCCACCUAGUCUUCGAUGGAUAGGGGUUCUGAGGGGAAGGUCCCCCACAUUGGAACUGAGACACGGUCCAA